GACAGUGUGGCAAAGUGGUUUGAGUGUUGGACUACAGCUCUGGAGACCAGGGUUUGAACCCCUGCCGAGCCA